UGGGGAAUUUUCCGCAAUGGGCGAAAGCCUGACGGAGCAAUACCGCGUGAGGGAAGAAGGUCUAAUGAUUGUAAACCUCUUUUCUCAGGGAAGAAAAAAAUGACGGUACCUGAGGAAUAAGCAUCGGCUAACUCCGUGCCAGCAGCCGCGGUAAUACGGAGGAUGCAAGCGUUAUCCGGAAUUAUUGGGCGUAAAGCGUCCGCAGGUGGUUGAACAAGUCUGCGGUCAAAAACUGGAGCUUAACUCCAGCGAGGCCGUGGAAACUGUAGAACUAGAGACCGGUAGGGGUAGAGGGAAUUCCCAGUGUAGCGGUGAAAUGCGUAGAGAUUGGGAAGAACACCAGUGGCGAAGGCGCUCUACUGGGCCGGAACUGACACUCAGGGACGAAAGCUAGGGGAGC
rnacentral:rRNA from 1 species